GGAGGGUGCAAGCGUUAUCCGGAUUCACUGGGUUUAAAGGGUGCGUAGGUGGGCAGGUAAGUCAGUGGUGAAAUCUCCGGGCUUAACCCGGAAACUGCCAUUGAUACUAUCUGUCUUGAAUACCGUGGAGGUGAGCGGAAUAUGUCAUGUAGCGGUGAAAUGCUUAGAUAUGACAUAGAACACCAAUUGCGAAGGCAGCUCACUACGCGAAUAUUGACACUGAGGCACGAAAGCGUGGGGAUCAAACAGGAUUAGAUACCCUGGUAGUCCACGCCCUAAACGAUGGAUACUCGACAUACGCGAUACACAGUGUGUGUCUGAGCGAAAGCAUUAAGUAUCCCACCUGGGAAGUACGACCGCAAGGUUG
rnacentral:rRNA from 1 species